rnacentral:rRNA from 1 species
UCACAGCCAUAUCACCCUGCAGCCCAAGACUGGUUGCCCACUGAAGCUAAGCAGGGCUGAGCCUGGUCAGUACCUGGAUGGGAGACCUCCUGGGAAAACUAGGUUGCUGUUGGAA